rnacentral:rRNA from 1 species
AGAGUUUGAUCAUGGCUCAGAACGUACGCUGGCGGCACGCCUAACACAUGCAAGUCGAACGAAGUAGCAAUACUUAGUGGCAGACGGGUGAGUAACAUGUAGGUAUCUACCCUUUGGCCUGGAAUAACACGAGGAAACUUGUGCUAAUACCGGAUAAGUCUUUACGGAGAAAGCUUUAUGCACCAUUGGAUGAGCCUGCACUUGAUUAGUUUGUUGGUGGGGUAAUGGCCUACCAAGACUGUGAUCAAUAGCUGAUUUGAGAGGAUGAUCAGCCACAUUGGGACUGAGACACGGCCCAAACUCCUACGGGAGGCAGCAGUGGGGAAUCUUGCACAAUGGAGGAAACUCUGAUGCAGCGAUGCCGCGUGAGUGAAGAAGGCCCUUGGGUUGUAAAGCUCUUUCGUCGGGGAAGAAAAUGACUGUACCCGAAUAAGAAGGUCCGGCUAACUUCGUGCCAGCAGCCGCGGUAAUACGAAGGGACCUAGCGUAGUUCGGAAUUACUGGGCUUAAAGAGUUCGUAGGUGGUUGAAAAAGUUGGUGGUGAAAUCCCAGAGCUUAACUCUGGAACUGCCAUCAAAACUUUUCAGCUAGAGUAUGAUAGAGGAAAGCAGAAUUUCUAGUGUAGAGGUGAAAUUCGUAGAUAUUAGAAAGAAUACCAAUUGCGAAGGCAGCUUUCUGGAUCAUUACUGACACUGAGGAACGAAAGCAUGGGUAGCGAAGAGGAUUAGAUACCCUCGUAGUCCAUGCCGUAAACGAUGUGUGUUAGACGUUGGAAAUUUAUUUU